rnacentral:lncRNA from 1 species
UGGCCGUAUACGUUAACCGGGAUAUUUUUUACCCCAAGAUGGUACUCUGAAUAAAAUCUUCUGCGGCUCCUGAUUGGAUGAUACAAAGUUGGAAUUGCUCCAAUAAAAUUUAAGCAGCGAUCGAUCAUCCAUGUAAUACACAAUCUUGAACAGGUGAGUCCGGACUGUGACCUGACAUGACCCCGGACUAGCCUGAAGUUUACUAUACCUGCGUGUAUUGCAUUACGACGACUAACUGUAUGUAAACUGUUUAUUGUCGUAAAGUAUAUUGACGGGACAUUUGAUCAAGCAUGUAAUACAUAAGAAAUUUAUAAGAUAUUUAUCCGACAUUUAACGAAAAAUAUAAUUGUAAUAGGCGAGUCCGGAUGGUGACCUGAAGUAACCCCGGACUAGGUGUAUUCGCAAACUAAAGACAUCGAUAGAGAUAUAAAACUUCACACAUUAUUUGACGAGACGAACUUAUUCAUUUUUAUUCAUUCAACUUUUUCCUUAUUGUAUUGUCGUCGGAAACAUUAAUAAAAGACGUUCACCGAGAAUCAACAAAUUAAUAUUAGGCGAGUCCGGACUGUGACCUGAUAUAACCCCGGACCAGGAGUAUACGGAUUGUAUAUAAAUAAACUAAAUUAUUUGUUUAAUUGAAAGAUUUUUUUCCCCUUUUUGCUUUUUACUUUUCCUUUAUUUAUUUCUCUAUUUCGUAAGUUAUUCGAAUGUCAUCGGAAAAUUCAAUAAACGAAACUUAAGCGGCGUUCAACAAUGUAAUACACUAUCUUGAACAGGUGAGUCCGGACUGUGACCUGACAUGACCCCGGACUAGCUUGAAGUUUACUAUACCUGCGUGUAUUGCAUUACGACGACUAACUGUAUGUAAACUGUUUAUUGUCGUAAAGUAUAUUGACGGGACAUUUGAUCAAGCAUGUAAUACAUAAGAAAUUUAUAAGAUAUUUAUCCGACAUUUAACGAAAAAUAUAAUUGUAAUAGGCGAGUCCGGAUGGUGACCUGAAGUAACCCCGGACUAGGUGUAUUCGCAAACUAUAGACAUCGAUAGAGAUAUAAAAACUUCACAAAUUAUUUGAUGAGACGAACUUAUUCAUUUUUAUUCAUUCAACUUUUUCCUUAUUGUAUUGUCGUCGGAAACAUUAAUAAAAGACGUUUACCUUAGAAUCAACAAAUUAAUAUUAGGCGAGUCCGGACUGUGACCUGAUAUAACCCCGGACCAGGAGUAUACGGAUUGUAUAUAAAUAUACUAAAUUAUUUGUUUAAUUGAAAGAUUUUUUUUCCCUUUUUGCUUUUUACUUUUCCUUUAUACAUUUCUCUAUUUCUUUAGUUAUUCGAUUGUCAUCGGAAAAAUCAACAAACGACACUUAAGGGCGUUCAACAAUGUAAUACACAUUCUUGAACAGGUGAGUCCGGACUGUGAUCUGACAUGACCCCGGACUAGCUUGAAGUUUACUAUACCUGCGUGUAUUGCAUUACGACGACUAACUGUAUGUAAACUGUUAUUGUCGUAAAGUAUAUUGACGGGACAUUUGAUCAAGCAUGUAAUACAUAAGAAAGUUAUAAAAUAUUUAUCCGACAUUUAACGAAAAAAUGAAAUGUAAUAGGCGAGUCCGGAUGGUGACCUGAAGUAACCCCGGACUAGGUGUAUUCGCAAAAUAUAGACAUCGAUAGAGAUAUAAAACUUCACACAUUAUUUGAUGAGACGAACUUAUUCAUUUUUAUUCAUUCAACUUUUUCCUUAUCAAAUUGUCAUCGAAAAAAUUAACAAAAGACUUUUAUCCGAGAAGCAACGAAAUAAUACUAGGCGAGUCCGGACCGUGACCUGAAAUAACCCCGGACUGGGAGUAUACGAGUUAUAUAUACAUAUACUGUAUUAAGUGUUUAAUUGAAAGAUUGUAUUUCCAUUUUUCAUUUUUCUUUUUUCUUCAUUUAUUUCUCUAUUUCUGUAGUUAUUUGACUAUGAUCGACAUGAUCAAUAAAAGACACUAAAGCAGCAAUCAACCAAUGUAAUACACAUUCUUGAACAGGUGAGUCCGGACUGUGACCUGACAUGACCCCGGACUAGCUUGAAGUUUACUAUACCUGCGUGUAUUGCAUUACGACGACUAACUGUAUGUAAACUGUUUAUUGUCGUAAAGUAUAUUGACGGGACAUUUGAUCAAGCAUGUAAUACAUAAGAAAGUUAUAAGAUAUUUAUCCGACAUUUAACGAAAAAAUAAAUGUAAUAGGCGAGUCCGGAUGGUGACCUGAAGUAACCCCGGACUAGGUGUAUUCGCAAACUAUAGACAUCGAUAGAGAUAUAAAAACUUCACAAAUUAUUUGAUGAGACGAACUUAUUCAUUUUUAUUCAUUCAACUUUUUCCUUAUUGGUAUUGUCGUCGGAAACAUUAAUAAAAGACGUUUACCCGAGAAUCAACAAAUUAAUAUUAGGCGAGUCCGGACUGUGACCUGAUAUAACCCCGGACCAGGAGUAUACGGAUUGUAUAUAAAUAUACUAAAUUAUUUGUUUAAUUGAAAGAUUUUUUUCCCCUUUUUGCUUUUUACUUUUCCUUUAUUCAUUUCUCUAUUUCUUUAGUUAUUCGAUUGUCAUCGGAAAAAUCAAUAAACGACACUUAAGCGGCGUUCAACAAUGUAAUACACAUUCUUGAACAGGUGAGUCCGGACUGUGACCUGACAUGACCCCGGACUAGCUUGAAGUUUACUAUACCUGCGUGUAUUGCAUUACGACGACUAACUGUAUGUAAACUGUUUAUUGUCGUAAAGUAUAUUGACGGGACCUUUGAUCAAGCAUGUUAUACAUAAGAAAGUUAUAAGAUAUUUAUCCGACAUUUAACGAAAAAAUGAAAUGUAAUAGGCGAGUCCGGAUGGUGACCUGAAGUAACCCCGGACUAGGUGUAUUCGCAAACUAUAGACAUCGAUAGAGAUAUAAAACUUCACACAUUAUUUGAUGAGACGAACUUAUUCAUUUUUAUUCAUUCAACUUUUUCCUUAUUGUAUUGUCGUCGGAAACAUUAAUAAAAGACGUUUACCUUAGAAUCAACAAAUUAAUAUUAGGCGAGUCCGGACUGUGACCUGAAAUCAAUAAACGACACUUAAGCGGCGUUCAACAAUGUAAUACACAUUCUUGAACAGGUGAGUCCGGACUGUGACCUGACAUGACCCCGGACUAGCUUGAAGUUUACUAUACCUGCGUGUAUUGCAUUACGACGACUAACUGUAUGUAAACUGUUUAUUGUCGUAAAGUAUAUUGACGGGACAUUUGAUCAAGCAUGUAAUACAUAAGAAAGUUAUAAGAUAUUUAUCCGACAUUUAACGAAAAAAUUAAAUGUAAUAGGCGAGUCCGGAUGGUGACCUGAAGUAACCCCGGACUAGGUGUAUUCGCAAACUAUAGACAUCGAUAGAGAUAUAAAACUUCACACAUUAUUUGAUGAGACGAACUUAUUCAUUUUUAUUCAUUCAACUUUUUGCUUAUCAAAUUGUCAUCGAAAAAAUUAACAAAAGACUUUUAUCCGAGAAGCAACGAAAUAAUACUAGGCGAGUCCGGACCGUGACCUGAAAUAACCCCGGACUGGGAGUAUACGAGUUAUAUAUACAUAUACUGUAUUAAGUGUUUAAUUGAAAGAUUGUAUUUCCAUUUUUCCUUUUUCUUUUUUCUUCAUUUAUUUCUCUAUUUCUGUAGUUAUUUGACUAUGAUCGGAA